CCAAGCCCCUCUCUCGGGUGCUUUCAGCCUGGAAGAAACCAAAACCCCCACCCACCCCAACCUGACUCCAGUGCUGCUUUCCAGGGGUGUCUCACCAGCUCUGGAAAAUCCUGAUUCCAGUGUCUUUAAGGGCUGGACUGGGAGAUGGGAAGGGAUUCUCAAAACACAGGCUCCUGGAGCCACGACAGGACCGAGUGUGAGAGAGGGUCAGGGGAAGUCUUAAGCAGCAGGAGGGCAGAACAACAGCCUUGGUGCUGUAUCCUGAUCCUGCUCCAGUGGAUUUACAGCUGGUUCCUUUCCUGGAAUGAGAAGAUUAGGAUCGCUGGAGCUGCGUGUGCGUCUUCCAGCGAGGAGAAGUAGGGAUUCUGAGUUCAGCAUUGCUCAUCACUGACGGGGAGUGGAAUCAAAAAUGGAAUUCUGGGUGAAGAGUGACUGAUCCACAGCUAAAUUAAAGAACAGAGCUGGUGCUGAAGACAGCACGGGGCCAGGAGGGAUUGACUUCAGUGUCUGCCACAGCGCACUGGUCCAGAAAGAAGCUUUGUGCAGAUGGUUCUGUGUGUGCUGAGCGUUUCUGUGGCCCUGUUUGAAGAGAUAAAAGGAAAGCUCCAAAGUGCAAAGAGCACCUAAAUCCUCUUAGAUGUUCCAGCCAUGUGGAAAGCCAGACACAGCUGAGGUCUUUAUCUAUAUUGGAUUUAAAACUCAUUUAAGGAGCAUCUCAGGUGCUGUUGGACACCUUUGUUUGGGAAAGGGAAUAAAGGCCUUCAAUCACCCAUGACUAGUUUGGAGAAAAGGAAAAUUACUCUCCCUUUAAAAAAGCUGGAAGGUUUAAAAAUGUUCCAACAUUUUGAAGGUCUGACCACGCCCUCAGUCCCACUGGGAAGAUGGAGCAGUGAUCACAUGAUUUUUGCACUUGCAUAUUCCAAAUAAUGAGGGAAAA